rnacentral:lncRNA from 1 species
CUGGAGGUAAGAUUGCUGAAAUUAGAACUAGUUCAAAUGCAAGUAACCAUCUAACCUAUUAUGAUAUUAACUUUCAAGAGUCUAAAAAACAUGAGUUAAUACUGCUAACACUACUACAAUUACAGUAGACCGGCAAUACACCUAGAAUUAUCAUGCAUGAGUAAAAUAAGGUACAGUCCAUCAGUCCAAGUUAAUUACAAAUGAAAAUUUAAUAGAGCCCCUGAGAUUACUAAAAUAAAAUAUGAAAAUUGACAGAGAAAACAUGCUGCACUUCAGAUUGUUUCCAAAGCUUGAGAGCUAUAUGAUAUGUACCUGGAAUUUGAGGAAAACAAAUAGAAAAAUGAAGGAUCAGCAAUAGAACACUAGCAGGAUCAGUGUUCAGUAGAAAAAUCAGCCCAGAAAUGAUCAACGAAAAUUACUUUAACCAGAUUUUAACCCAAUCCCAGUAUCACAUAAAGUUCACAAUCAGAACACAACCAAAUACUGAAGCCAAGCACUUGAAUACCAACCAAAACUCAAGUCAUUUUAACUUUCAACUAUCAGAAUUAUUUCAGGGUGAAAAGCUCAAGAAUUUCUGGAAUUUUCUAAAGGAACAGUGUUUCUGUAGAAGUUUUUUUUUUCCUUUUCUUUUCUAUGAAAUUUUCUAGCUCU